GAAGUUUCCGGUUCCGGUGUCAGCGGCGGUUGAAUUGCCAUGGCAAUGCGGUGGGCGCGCGCUUGUCGUGUUGGUCUCUUGGGAGGUAGCGGGGCUAGGCCGGGCGGGUAUCCGCCUCUCCCAGCUUAGGUGAGCGUCCCCGGGCGCCUCCGGAGCGCCGCGGCCGCAUGCAGUUCGUCGUGGCGGGGAGCCGGAGCCUGACCGGGGUUCCAGCGCUCGGGCCGUAGCCUUGGCUCCUGGACUUUCCCUGGCUCCGCCGCCACGUGGGAGCUGAGGCUCUGGGGCUUCCGCCUCCGGCGCGCGAUUAUUUCUCUAGAACAGUUUUCAUUUUUAAAAUUUGUAAAGCGCUUUUGCCUGUGUGAUUUCCUCUGGGUUUUUUUUUUUUUUCUUCCUUUUUGUAGAGACGGAAUUGGCGGCGGGGGCGGGGGGUCGAUGUCUCACUUUUUUGCCCAGGCUGGUCUCGAACUCCUGGCUUCAAGGGAUCCUCCUGCCUCGGCCUCUUAAAGUGCUGGGAUUACAGGCGUGAGCCACCGCCCCCGGCCGCCUCUGAGUUUCCAGCCUCGUUGGCCCUCCAGCCUUUUAACCUGUUGGGCCUAGGAUCAGGAAAGGUUUGUUGAAUGGGGAACUAAGAAGUGAAUUCGUUCGUUCGACAAACGUUUCCUGAGCAGCCGCUGGGUGCUAGGCGCAGUGCCAGCGCGGAAUGUCCAGGGAGACCUGGUGCCCAAAGCUUGGACCCAUCGUGAGAAAUGAGAAGCAGAUACAAAGCAGUGUGGGAGUGCAGAGGAGACAAAGCAAGCCUCAUCAGGCCCAUUGCUUGCUCUGCUCUCCCUUGUACUUACCAGUGCUUGACAAUAUACAGUUAUUUACUAGCUUGGUUAUUGACUUCCUACCCAGCACUCAGUUUUAUUCACUGCUGUAUCCUCAGUGCCUAGGACGAUGCUUGGAACGUGGUAAGUGCUCCUAUUGGCGGGAAGAAUAAAUCCGGAAGAGCAGGACCAGUGGACUUGCUACAUAAUCUGUAGUCUUGGAGCCGCACAGGGUUGGUGGUACCCUCGAGCACACCAGACUUGCAGAAAAAGCAUACUCCAGAGGAAGCUGAGGCAUGCCUGCUCGAGAGCCAGCUGUUCCAUGUGCAAUUUUCCUCUGAUAGUUUCUGGUCACUGUUGCCACGGUGAUAAUGACUGGGCUAUGUCAUUAUCUAUCCGCCAACAGUAAGAGAAGCUUUGCAGUCGAGAUAUUGUUUAGCAGAUGGAGUGUUUUCUGUUGAACACUAAGUACUGCCACAAGUUACUUUUUUUUUUUUAAACUUUGAGUAUUUUUUUACAAUGUUGCUGGAGGUGAUCUGUUUAUGCUUUGAGAGUGUUCGAAUUUAAAAUCAGAAAAUCAUGUCAGUGAGUGAGUCUUUCAAAUAAUCCUUCGGCAUGAAACCUGAGCCUAGUAAACUAUGAAAGUAAACUCGGCACAUUACCCGAAAGUCUCAAUGUCAUAUUUUCACCCCCAUCAAUAUUAUUGAUGAUUGCUCAUUUUCUAAUGUGGGACCUGAAAUUUACCAGGUGCUUAAAGAAUCUUUUUGUUUUUCAGAUUCAUUGAUUCCAGGUAAAUCAGAGGAACAAGCAACAUGAACAGAAAUAUGUAGAAAAAGCUAUUAUGCAGAAGCAUAAUUGUUGUUUCAGAAGUCCAGCAUCUGGUGCACUUAACAAUAGAGAAUAUAUUAAACUCUUUCCAAAAUAA
rnacentral:lncRNA from 10 species